rnacentral:rRNA from 1 species
GACGAACGCUGGCGGCGUGCUUAACACAUGCAAGUCGAACGGAAAGGCCCUGCUUUUGUGGGGUGCUCGAGUGGCGAACGGGUGAGUAACACGUGAGUAACCUGCCCUUGACUUUGGGAUAACUUCAGGAAACUGGGGCUAAUACCGGAUAGGAGCUCCUGCUGCAUGGUGGGGGUUGGAAAGUUUCGGCGGUUGGGGAUGGACUCGCGGCUUAUCAGCUUGUUGGUGGGGUAGUGGCUUAUCAAGGCUUUGACGGGUAGCCGGCCUGAGAGGGUGACCGGGCACAAUGGGAACGGGGAUAGGGCCAGAACUCCACGGGGGGCAAGAGGGGGGGAUAUUGGAAAAAGGGGGGGAGGCUGAAUGCGGAACGGCGGGGGGGGGAAGGACGCCUUUGGGGUGGUAACCCGCUUUCGCUGGGGAGGAGGGGUGGGGGAGGUAAAGGGGAAAAAAAGCACCGCUAACUUAGGU